rnacentral:rRNA from 1 species
CCUGGCUCAGGACGAACGCUGGCGGCGUGCCUAAUACAUGCAAGUCGAGCGGACCUCUUCGGAGGUCAGCGGCGGACGGGUGAGGAACACGUGGGUAAUCUGCCUUUCAGACCGGAAUAACGCCCGGAAACGGGCGCUAAUGCCGGAUACGCCCGCGAGGAGGCAUCUUCUUGCGGGGAAAGGCCCAAAUGGGCCGCUGAGAGAGGAGCCCGCGGCGCAUUAGCUGGUUGGCGGGGUAACGGCCCACCAAGGCGACGAUGCGUAGCCGACCUGAGAGGGUGACCGGCCACACUGGGACUGAGACACGGCCCAGACUCCUACGGGAGGCAGCAGUAGGGAAUCUUCCGCAAUGGGCGCAAGCCUGACGGAGCAACGCCGCGUGAGCGAAGAAGGCCUUCGGGUUGUAAAGCUCUGUUGCUCGGGGAGAGCGGCAUGGGGAGUGGAAAGCCCCAUGCGAGACGGUACCGA